AGAGUUUGAUCCUGGCUCAGGACGAACGCUGGCGGCGUGCUUAAUACAUGCAAGUCGAGCGAGGCUACUGUUUCGGAUCCCUUCGGGGUGAAGAAGCUUUAACCUAGCGGCGGACGGGUGAGUAACGCGUGGGUAACCUACCCCAAAGUCCGGGAUAACAGCGGGAAACCGCUGCUAAUACCGGAUGUCUUUACCUUGGGGCAUCUUGAGGUAAAGAAAGGUAACGCUUUGGGAUGGGCCCGCGUCCCAUUAGCUAGUUGGUGAGGUAACGGCUCACCAAGGCGACGAUGGGUAGCCGGCCUGAGAGGGUGGACGGCCACACUGGGACUGAGACACGGCCCAGACUCCUACGGGAGGCAGCAGUAGGGAAUAUUGCGCAAUGGACGGAAGUCUGACGCAGCGACGCCGCGUGAGCGAUGAAGGUCUUCGGAUCGUAAAGCUCUGUCCUUGGGGAAGAAGGCGAAAGCUUGACGGUACCCAAGAAGAAAGCCCCGGCUAACUACGUGCCAGCAGCCGCGGUAAUACGUAGGGGGCGAGCGUUGUCCGGAAUUACUGGGCGUAAAGGGUGCGUAGGCGGCCCUUUAAGUCGGAUGUGAAAGCCCGCGGCUUAACCGCGGAAUGGCACUCGAAACUGGAGGGCUUGAGUGUCGGAGAGGGUAGUGGAAUUCCCAGUGUAGCGGUGAAAUGCGUAGAUAUUGGGAGGAACACCAGUGGCGAAGGCGACUACCUGGACGAUAACUGACGCUGAGGCACGAAAGCUAGGGGAGCAAACAGGAUUAGAUACCCUGGUAGUCCUAGCCGUAAACGAUGGGUACUAGGUGUGGGUGGUUUCGAUACCAUCCGUGCCGUAGUUAACGCAUUAAGUACCCCGCCUGGGGAGUACGUGCGCAAGCAUGAAACUCAAAUGAAUUGACGG
rnacentral:rRNA from 1 species